AGCGAACGCUGGCGGCAGGCCUAACACAUGCAAGUCGAACGAACCUUUCGGGGUUAGUGGCGGACGGGUGAGUAACACGUGGGAACGUGCCUUUAGGUUCGGAAUAACUCAGGGAAACUUGUGCUAAUACCGAAUGUGCCCUUCGGGGGAAAGAUUUAUCGCCUUUAGAGCGGCCCGCGUCUGAUUAGCUAGUUGGUUGAGGUAAUGGCUCACCAAGGCGACGAUCAGUAGCUGGUCUGAGAGGAUGAUCAGCCACAUUGGGACUGAGACACGGCCCAAACUCCUACGGGAGGCAGCAGUGGGGAAUCUUGCGCAGUGGGCGAAAGCCUGACGCAGCCAUGCCGCGUGAAUGAUGAAGGUCUUAGGAUUGUAAAAUUCUUUAACCGGGGACGAUAAUGACGGUACACGGAGAAGAAGCCCCGGCUAACUUCGUG
rnacentral:rRNA from 1 species